UUUCCGGAUGCUUUUUAUCCUAUUUUCUUAUCAAACAACCAUUUUACCCGUAGAACGGAGUUAAGUACAAAUUUAGGAAUUUAGUACUUUAAAUUUUCAACAACAAAAUUUUACACUUUCAUUUACCUGGAUUUUUUUCUACGCUUCGAAGCCGCCUGAAUCAAACUUAGCCAACACCUCGCAUGGCGUAUUCACGAUGUGGAGGGAUUGACAAUAUACAAUCAAAGUUAGCAAUAUACAGCAAGUUGUCAGCCAGAUGAAAAGAACAAUGCAGUUCAAAAGUCAAAAUGUGGAUAAGCUGCGGUACAAGGUCCUACUUUUGCAGAUUUUCAUAUUUUGCAUGAAUGAAUUUGAAGUUUAUAUCAUGGAGGGCAGAGAAUUUUCCUGCUUCUGAAGGAUAAAUGUAAAACAUCUUGUUCGAAGGAUUGAAAUUCAUCACUUAGAAUAAAAGGAGAAAACACAGAAACAAGACCAAAAUAAAUUCAAAGACAAAAGUCAGAUCAGUUAUUAUUUUCAUCACU